GUGGAACUGUGAGUCAAUUAAACUUCUUUCCUUUAUUAAUUACCCAGUCUCAGAUAGUUCUUUAUAGCAGCGUAAGAAUGGACUAAUACAGAAGGGAAAUAUCGCAGUAAUCAGUAAUCAGCAAAAACGAAAAGGCUGAAAAGCCACAGGCAGUGCUGAAGGAAAAAUACGUGGGGAAAAAAUGGGAAAGACCUGGCAGACAAUAUUGUGUAUGUCCUGUUCACAGCUGUAUCUGUAUCCGGACUAGUUCUUGACCCACAGUGAUUAUUAAAUAAAUGUUUACGGAAUGAACAGCUAACAAAAGCAGAGAAACAAAUACAAAGGUUGAAAAUGUGUAUUUAGGAAAGGGGAUGAGAAAUAAAAUCAGUAUUUUUGAAAGAUGGGAAAAGAGAUGAGCUAGAAGCAAGCAGGGAUGACAUGCAUGUUUUCUAGAGCUUAUGUAAAAAUAUUUUUAAAAGAUGGGGCAAUCUAUAAUUGGAAGAAGAAACACGCAAAGCUAUCCUUCAUUAAAUUAACUACUGGAUAAAAAAUUAGAAAUAGUAGAUAGAAUUUCAGAUAUGAAGAUGAAAAAGUUAUGGAGAUCUGUUUCACAACAAUGUAAACAUCCUUCACAGCAAUGGAGUGAAUGCCUAAAAAUGAUUAAGAUGGUGUAUUAGGUCCGUUUGCAUGCUGUUGAUAAAGACAGACCCAAGACUGGGCAAUUUACAAAAGAAAAAGGUUUAAUGGACUUACAGUUCCACGUGGCUGAGGAAGCCUCACAAUCACGGCAGAAGGCAAGGAGGGGCAAGUUACAUCUUACAUGGACGGCGGCAGGCAAAGAGAGAGAGCUUGUGCAUGCAGGAAAUUACCCUGCAGUGUAAUUUUUGUUUUCUCUUAAUUCAAGAGAGCUCAGGAAUGCUAAGGAGCUAGAAGCACCUCAUAACCAAAGUCACUGAACUACACAGCACACAGAACCACAGAACGGGCUGCUUCUGCUUUUAGAUGUUUUCUCUGGCAAGGGCGGAGAAGCUACACCAUGCCUCUUUAGCAGUUCCUCCUUUGCUUCUCUCAAAUUCUGGUUGCUGAAACGUUGUUAUCCUUCUUAAAAACCUACAUCUAGAGCAGGCCCUUAGGAAAAGUCACCCAGGUUGAUAUGGCAAAAUGCAUGAAUUCUUACUGUGUUUUUGGAAGUGUGUUCUGAAGCAAUAGCGGCCAGCUCCUCAAGACUGUACAUGCUCACAUCUGCCUGAGGUGCUCCAUUCUGACUGAGAAUCUGGAAAAACUCACUGUUUGCUAAGAAACACAGGGAGAUAAACAGGUAGUCCAGUGACAACAGUAUCUUUAGGAAACCAUUUCAUCACUAUCAAGCUGGAUUAUUUUUUUCGGAUGAGAACACCUCAGUGCAUUUUUCUCAAAAACAAAUCAUUUUCUGCUUUUACCUAAAAUACUGACAGUUGUGCAAACUUAAGAUUUGAUUUUAUGAAUUCUGCAUGUUCUGGAUCACAGGAAGCAAAAUACAUUUAAGGUACUAACUAAAAAUUUCAGAUGCAUACACAAUUUUUUUGCGGGGGGAGCAGAAACAG
rnacentral:lncRNA from 1 species